rnacentral:rRNA from 1 species
GACGAACGCUGGCGGCGUGCCUAAUACAUGCAAGUCGAACGCAGUGGGGACGGGUGAGUAACACGUGGGUAACCUCCCAUCAGAGGGGAUAACACUUGGAAACAGGUGCUAAACCGAUACUGAUGGAUGGACCCGCGGUGCAUUAGCUAGGUGGUGAGGUAACGGCGCACAAAGUCCACGAUGCAUCGCCGACGUGCGAGAGUGAUCGGACAAACUGGGACCUAGACACGGCCAAGACUCCUACGGUAGGCAGCAGUAGGGAAUCUUCGGCAAUGGACGAAAGUCUGACCGAGCAACGCCACGUGAGUGAAGAAGGUUUUCGGAUCGUAAAACUCUGUUGUGAGAGAAGCGGUAUCUACCCAGAAAGCCACGGCUAACUACGGGCCAGCAGACGCGGUAAUUC